rnacentral:rRNA from 1 species
AUUGAACGCUGGCGGCAGGCCUAAUACAUGCAAGUCGAACGAGUGGCGGACGGGUGAGUAAUGUCUUGGAAACUGCGUGAUGGAGGGGGAUAACUACUGGAAACGGUAGCUAAUACCGCAUACGAUGGGAUGUGCUCAGGGGGAAUUAGCUAGUUGGUGGGGUAAAGGCUCACCUAGGCGACGAUCCCUAGCAGGUCUGAGAGGAUGACCGGCCACACUGGAACUGAGACACGGCCCAGACUCCUACGGGAGGCAGCAGUGGGGAAUAUUGCACAAUGGGCGAAAGCCUGAUGCAGCCAUGCCGCGUGUGUGAAGAAGGCCUUCGGAUUGUAAAGUACUUUCGUCAGGGAGGCGUUACUUACAGAAGAAGCACCGGCUAACUACGUGCCAGCAGCCGCGGUAAUAC